rnacentral:rRNA from 1 species
GACGAACGCUGGCGGCGCGCCUAACACAUGCAAGUCGAACGAGCGAGAGAGAGCUUGCUUUCUCGAGCGAGUGGCGAACGGGUGAGUAACGCGUGAGGAACCUGCCUCAAAGAGGGGGACAACAGUUGGAAACGACUGCUAAUACCGCAUAAGCCCACGACCCGGCAUCGGGUAGAGGGAAAAGGAGCAAUCCGCUUUGAGAUGGCCUCGCGUCCGAUUAGCUAGUUGGUGAGGUAACGGCCCACCAAGGCGACGAUCGGUAGCCGGACUGAGAGGUUGAACGGCCACAUUGGGACUGAGACACGGCCCAGACUCCUACGGGAGGCAGCAGUGGGGAAUAUUGCACAAUGGGGGAAACCCUGAUGCAGCGACGCCGCGUGGAGGAAGAAGGUCUUCGGAUUGUAAACUACUGUUGUUGAGGAAGAUAAUGACGGUACUCAACAAGGAAGUGACGGCUAACUACGUG